ACGCUCGACACCUACGGGGGCAGCAGUGGGGAAUAUUGCACAAUGGGGGAAACCCGUGAUGCAGCGACGCCGCGUGAAGGAAGAAGUAUCUCGGUAUGUAAACUUCUAUCAGCAGGGAAGAAAAUGACGGUACCUGACUAAGAAGCCCCGGCUAACUACGUGCCAACAGCCGCGGUAAUCUGAGCGGGCUGGCAAGGC
rnacentral:rRNA from 1 species